UGUCAAGCUAUUUAAGUAAUAAAACCUUCCUCUUAAUGCUUCAUUAGAGGUGAAAGCUUACUCCUGCAGUCAGUAUAGCACAGACGCAUUGUAUCUGGACAAAGUUCAUUCUAUGUAAGCCAUAAACCCAGCCCUAGAAAGCAAACAUAAUUACAGCAUCACAACGUUCCACUUAAAGAGGCAGCCAAUUAAGAACACUUUUAUAGGGGCAGGGCCUGACAGCCAUGGGAUAUCUCAGCACCUAUCAUUGGGUCCAGUGGGGUGCAAUAUACCACUUCAAGAUGGCGGACACCGGGCACUUACUGAGUUCCCAAGGCCUUCGGCUCGACACUAGGGAGAAGCUUGAAGAAAUACUUGACAACUUCUGGGCGAAGCAAGACAGAAGAAGAUGGCUCACCACACGCAGCUUACCGACCGCUAACUUACCUUAACCCUCACGCUAUCUUGUUUCUUGACUAGCAUUGGCUUUUGCUCGAGAAAAAGGGCUUGCAGUCGCCAGGCGGCCUCUCCGCUUAUUCAGAUUAGCAUUCAGACUCUGCUAAGCCGGAAACCCCGGAUGCCACCAAUUGCUCCGCACCAUCUCAUAGGAAUUACUCCGGGUCGGUUUACCCGGAAAGCACAGCUGUUACCUACUUGACUUCACAGCGAUUCCCACUACAUGAAGACUUAAGGCAAGGCUUUCAAUAAAGGCUCAGUGCAACGGACACUGGAGCACAAUCCAUGAACACCUCCAGGUCUCAGUCUACAUUUUGAG